AGUAGAACUGUAUAGAUUCCUUCCCAAAGAAUAGCAUUACAGUUCAUUCAAGGAAGAAAAGGAGUUAAACCGAGCCUUAAGGCCAAUAAUCCAGACUUGCAACCCAUCCUUGUAAAAUAUUAGAUUCCAAUCCCAUCAGACUCUGUUAUGCAGGUACCAGGCUGUAUCACUGCUACAAACUUCAUGUGCUGGGGGGGGGGUUCUGGCACAAAUAAUACAUUAGUCAUCAUUCGAGUGAUUUUUUUAAUUAGUUUCUUUUUUUUUUUCUUCUUCCUCCUCCCCUCAUUCUCUUCUUCUUUAUUUUCUUUUGCCCCCUGAUGGUUGUCAGAGUGACAUAUGAGAAGGGGUGAGGGGAGAGAGCAGCUGAAUGAGAAGGUGUUGGCAGUUUAAAAAGAUCUUGUCCUGAGGGCUGAGCGUGGGAGGAGGUAAAAAGAGCUGGAGGGAGCGAGGAUAAGAGUCAUCUAAAUGCUCAGGGGAAGAGGAGGGAUAGCAUUCCUUUAAAUCCAUUCAGCCACUCGGCUAUUUCCUGCUUUGGUUCAGCAGCCAACACGCACCACCUGCUUUUGCUUAGAAAUUUCCUGUUUAUAUCCUUUAGAAGUAGGGGGGGGGAAAGAAAAGAGCGCUGCAGUAACUCUUUCUCCUAUUCAAAGACAAAUGAGAGCGAAGAUCUGGAGUUAACCCCCAUUGCCGUUCCACAUCGACCGAAUAAAGCUGAGAACUUCCCAGAACCUGAAGUUCAGCUGUAGAGCCACAGGUUGGGCAAGUCCAUCUGCUUCAUAGAGAAUUGAUGAGAUGGCACAAAAUAUCUGGAUCCAUGUCAGGUGUGAAUGCCAUCACAUCACCAUGGCUUUAUCAUGGUAUCCUCGUAACCAGAAGACACUCGCACGCCCUUAUAAUAAGAUGUUAGAGCGAAACGGGACAUAUUGGCUGAUCACUAAAGCUCGCCAGAUGAAAUGAUGAAGUGAGCUACUUGGAUCCAGCUCCAGAAAAAGGUUUUGACACAAUGGUUGAGGAUUACUCGGUUUCCUGUUACUCAAAACAUAUUGGCUUGCCUCCUGGCGUCUAGUAGUUUUUCAAGACGGGUACGUGGACUUGGUGCAGUUCCAUUUUCAAAGUCUUUCAAAACCCCAGGCCUGUUGUUUAAAAUGUCUCUGCUACUUGCCUAAGUGAUUCACUGAAACAAAUGAGUCAAGCAGUCUCCGCCAGAUAAUGCAUUGCAGGCCUCUCCAAGACCAAGAGACUGCUCUAUGGUGUCUAAUCCACACACAGUAACAAUGGCCUCUAUUAUUGACACUGUGAUCAGCAACCAAUAUCAGUUCAAGUGGGACAGAUGUUGCCCUGGAGACAUUUGACCUUUGCGUCUUGAACCUUAAAGAGAUUCUGUUAUGAUUUUUAUCGUGUCGUUUUUAUUUCUAAAUUACACUGCAAAAAUUCACUCUACAAUAAAAUUGAAUUCCUGAA